rfam:Homo sapiens chromosome 6 genomic contig, GRCh38 reference assembly alternate locus group ALT_REF_LOCI_2.
GCCUGGGUAGCUCAGUCGGUAGAGCUAUCAGACUUUUAGCCUGAGGAUUCAGGGUUCAAUCCCUUGCUGGGGCG